ensembl:lncRNA
CAAAAACAGAAACAUCCAAUGAACAUAUCAAAAGAUAUUCAGGGGAAAUGAAAAUUAAAACAUUAAAAUAGAAUUUUACACCCAUAAUUUGACAACAAUUAAGAUCUGAUAAUACCAAGCAUUUGUGAAAAUGUCAAGAAUAAGAAAUUAUUAUUCACUGCUAGUAGAAGUGUAAAUCAAUUCAGCCGUUCUAAUGAACAAUUUGUCAAUACUUAGUAAUAUUGAAAAUUGCUUUUUCCUUAACUCAGAAUUACAUGCUGAGGAAUAAAUAUGAAUCUCACAUGUUCACAAGUAUUCAUGUGCAAAUACAUUUAUUACAGCAUUGUUUAUAAUAUUAAAAAUUAAAAUAAACCUAUAUUUCCAUCACUUGGGGAAUGAAUAAAUAAACUAAUGAUAUAUCAUAUAAUAGUUAAAAUUAUCAAUUUUAAUUUUUUUUUAAGGUUGGCCCUGAGCUAACAUCUGUUGCCAAUCUUCCUCUUUUGUUUUUCCCUCUCCAAAGCCCCAGCACACAGUUGUAUAUUCCAGUUGUAGAUCCUUCUAGUUCUUCUGUGUGGGGUGCCACCAGAGCAUGGCCUGAUGAGUGAUGUGUAUGUCUGCACCCUGGAUCUGAACCAGUGAACCCCAGGCCACCAAAGCAGAGUUCAUGAACUUAACCACUACGCCAAGGAGCCAGUCCUCCAAUUUUAAUUUUUAAUUUAAAAAAGUAGAUUGCAAAGAAAGAUAACAUGAUGCCAUUUAUAUAUUUUUUUUAAACAAAAACAAUACCAUACAUCAUUUCAGUCACAUUCAGGUGUACUAAAAAGUAUUAAAACAUGAUGGAAGGAACAUAUACUAACUUCAGGACAAAUCUUCCCUCUGAGAAGAGAAAGAAAUGGGUCGGGAGGAGUAAAUUUUGUAUCUUCUGCCCUGUUCUUUCUCUCUUCUCCUUCUGAGAUUCAAUUAUACACGUUAGCCCAUUUGGUCUUGUCUCACAGCUCUUGAGUGCUCCUAGGGUUUUUGGGUUUUUCGUUUUCUCUUUGUGUUUUGACUUGGGAAAUUUCUAUUAGCCCGUCUUCAGGUUUAUUUAUUCUUUCUUUGGCGGUAUAAGCCUCCUGAACGGCUCAUUGACAGAAUUCUUUCUCUCCGUUACUUUGUUUUUUAUUUCUAACAGUUCCACUUUACUUUCUCUUACAUUUUCCAUCUCUCUACUGAAAUCUCCCAUCUAUUCAUGUAUAUUGUCCACAUCUCCACUACAUCUUUUUAAAUUUUUUUUUUCUGAGGAAGAUUUGCCCUGAGCUAACAUUUGUUGCCAAUCUGCCUCUUUUUUUUCCUGAGGAAGAUCAGUCCUGAGCUAACAUCCGUGCCAUUCUUCCUCUUCUUGGUAUGUGGGUCACCGCCACAGCAUGGCUGAUGAGUGGUGGAGGUCCAGGCCCAGGAUCCAAACCUGCAAACCCAGGCCAGCAAAGUGAAGCACGCUGAACUUAACCACUAUGUGACAGGGCCAGCCCCCCACUGCAUCUUUUAACAUAUUGAUCAUAGUUAUUUUAAAUUCCCUGAUACUUCUAACGUCUGGGCAGUCUCUGAGCUUGGUUUUAUUCACUCUUUGUCUUUUAACAGUUGGGGGUUUCUUCUUAUGUGUAUAUGUCGUGAUUUUUUUAUUGAAUGCCAGACAGUGUAUGUAGAACAGUAAAGACUGAGAUAAACAGUAUCUAUGCCUAGAAAUGGACACAUAAGUUCUUUUAGUAGGUCAUUACUGUGGGGAGUUGAGUCAACCUAGUCAGGAAUUGAGUAGGGUUUUAGUUUUGUCGUUGCUAUGGCUACCUUCACUAUACUGAGUUUUGUUGUUGCUAUGGUUACCUUCGCUCUACUGAGUUUUGUUGUUGCUAUCAUUACUAUGCACCAGUUGCUCCAAAUUCCUCUGGUGUUACCUUGUGCCUGGUGCAGGGGCUGGAAGCUAGAGGAUUUUUCUCAACGUUUCUGCUCCACCUUUAGCCUUUAGCCUUCCCCGUGUGCCUGCACCACACAGGGCAUCUCCUUCCAUAUUCUUGUCCGUUCCCCAGUGGUAAGCUGCUGUGGCUUGUUACUCAGUGCUUGCUAGCCUGGCUGGGGUGAGAGGGCAGCAGAGGGGAAAUUUUCUGCUGUCCUGGCAGGCCCCGUGUCCCUGGGUCUCAGAGAUGUGACUGUUUCAGUGAUUCUGUCCUUCCUCCCCAUGGCAACCUAACUGCUUUAUAUCUUUAGAAGGUCUUGUGCAAGAGAUAGCUUCCUGCCCUUCCCCACCAGUAGGAGACCACUAAUAAGAUUGGUAUAGGAUUCUUGCUUAGAAUUGUUUUCUACUUCUCUCCCUGAGGAAUAAAGGAUUUCUUUUCUUUUCCUUUCCCCCCAGCCCCAAUGGGUCUUCACUUGUGUUGCUAGAGGCAAUGGUUUGUUGUCCUUCCUUCAACAGCUUACAGCUAUUGUUCCACAGGGGGAAAGGUUCCUGCAGUGGAGAGCAAUCUCUUUUUUCAGGUCUGAACCACCUAGGAAAGCGUUUUCUGGUGUCCCUCCUAGCCUCAGUCUUUCUUGUGAACGCUUAGCAGAGGUCCAUUGUGAAGAACCUAUUAAUAAGUGUGAAUUUCCCUUGUGUCUGGGAAUGCCAAGAUUUCCACACUGUCACAGUAACCCACAUCAAGCCUUUAGAAGUUCAUUAAAAAUUUUAGCUCACUUCUUACCUACUAGUACAGUACCCAGUGUUUCUUCCUGCCAUGCUCUCUGCCAAGGUUGGGGCGGUGGGGGAAUCCUGUCCCUUUUUUGAGGAGCCUGUCUUUCCUUAGAUUUCAGUCUGCUUAAUCACCCUCCAACCUCAAUUUUCUAAUGGGCUUGAGAAAAGUUGUGAUUUUGUAGUUUAUCUGACUUUUUCUUGUUAAAUAAGAAUGACACUUCCAAUUUUUACAUCCUCAGUGAAAAUGGAAUCUAUCUAUAUGUUUAAUUCUUCAUUCUUUUUUUCUUUUUUGCUGAGAAAGCUUCACCCUGAGCUAACAUCUGUGCCAAUCUUUCUGCAUUUUGCACGUGGGUCACCACCACAACAUGGCUUGACAAUUGGUGUAAGUCCGUGCCUGGGAUCUGAACCUGUGAACCCAGGCCACCAAAGCCGAGUGCAGUGGACUUAAUCACUACACCACAGGGCUGGCCCCUUUAAUUCUUCACUUUUAAUCCAAAAAAUUUAAAAAGAGAUCCAAAGUAGCAAAGUGGUAUUAUAUGUUAAAUCCAGUUGGUGGUUCCAUGGUGUAGCAAAGAUUUCUUAGCUGGCAAUGUCAUCACCUUGAAUGAAAGACUUAAUUUCCUGCCCAUCAUGCAAUUAGAUGUGACCACAUGACUAAAUUUGAGCCAAUACAAUGUGAAAGUGUUGCACGAAACUUCUUAGAGGUCUCUUUAAAGAGGAAGAGGCAUUCCUAUGGUGUAGAAUGUGGAUGCAAUUGCUGGAGCUCCAACAACCAUCUUAUAAGCAUGAAGGCAUCGCAGGAAUGGUGGAGCAGAGAGCUGGAAGUUGGAUUCCUAAUGAUGAUGCUGUAGAACUACCAACUCAUCCUGGACUGAGUCCCUACAGAUUUCUUUUACAUGAGGGAAAAAUAAAUGUCUAUCUUGUCCACACCAAUUUUAUUGAAGGGGGUGAAGGGGCAUUCUAUUGCUAGCAAAUUUAAUCUAAGCCACUGCAUUUGGUGUCAUAUUAUUUUCUGAACUUUUUUGCAUGUUUGAAUUAUUUCAUAAUUAAAUUUUUUAAUUAAAUAAAAAUUGCAUAUAUGGUAACAAUAUCAACAAUAUAAAAAUAUGCACUGACAAAGAGAAACAUACAAAAAUGUUAACAUUGGUUCCCUGUGCGUAGUGGGAUGACGUGUGAUCUAUUUUUACCCUUAUCUUUAUCCACGUCUAUUCAGAGUUUCCACAUUGAGAAUUUAUUAUUCAUUUAAGUUUUCGUUUGUUUUCCUGAAAUGUGGUUUUCCUCCUCCACUAGCGCUGGUAUGUCAUUUCUUCUGGGCUGCUCAGAGGAAUCCUUCACCAUUUGCCGCUUCCAUAGCACCUCUCCCUGAAAUUUCACCUUUCUUUGUGAUUCUUUUCCUCCCAACCACACGGUAAGCUUAUUCUGAAACCACUAUUAUCUGCAAAUAAAGACUUGAACCUGCCUCUCUCUCCCCACACUUAACACUUCCUACUCUUGAUUUUUCUCCCAACCAGUGACUUCAGGUCCAAUUAAGAUUCCCCAAUAAAUCCUGUCUCUUCUGGUUCAGCAUUCCUUCCCGAAGGGUGGGGAUAACUCCCAGGCACUGGAUUAGAGACCAUAAUGAACACCACCCCACAAGGACCUCUGUCUCCACGAAUUAAGGACAAUCUGCUACUUCAUAGUGAGUUCCCAACCCACUAAAAUUACCCAAAACCCCAGAGUUUGGAGACAGGCUUUGUUUCCCUCUUUGCUCAAGAUAGUAAAUUUUACUGACCUGGUAUAUUACUUACAAUUGCUGUGUUAAAAAUUACCCCAAAAUGUAGCAGAUUAAACAAUCCACAAUUAUCUCACAGUUUUGGAGGGCAGGGAUGCAGGAACCGCUUAGCUGGGUCCUCUGCCUCAGGGCCUCUCACAAGACAGAAGUCAAGGUGGGCGGUCACGGCUGCAAUCAACUCAAGAUACACCCGGGGCAGGAUGCACUUGCAGCACCUUGCAUGGUUGUUGGCAGGAUUCAGUUCCUCAGGGGCAUUGGACUGAGGGUCUCAGUUCUUUGCACGAUGUUGACCCGAAGCCACCCUCAGUUCCUUGCCAGGUGGGCCUCUCCAACAAGGCAUCCGGCUCCAUCAAAGCAUGCAAGCCAAGAAGGCAAGAGCGAGAAUGAAAAAGUGGCAGCAAGAGAGAGUCCUAGCAAGGUAGACAUCACAGUCUUUGUAACAUAAACAUGGAAGCGGCAGUCUGUUACUUUUGUCAUGAUCUAUUCCUGAGAAGCAGGUCACCAGAUCCAGCCCGAAUACAAGAGGAGGAGAUUACACAAGGGAGUAAGUACCAGGAGGUGGGGAACAGUGGGAACUAUCUUAGAAGUCUGCCCACCACACUAGGUCUUACCAUCAGUCCAAAAAUCCUCUUCCCCGUUUUUCCCAGGAGACCUAGCAGGACCUCAGGCAAACCAGACUCCAAAUGACCCCUUCUACCAUGCCUAGUUCCAUAUGCAACCACCCAGACACACUGAUUUCAACAGUCCAACGUUGUUCUACUGUCCUCUACUUGUCACACUAUCAAAUUUAGCCUGUGCUUUCAGAAAAUGAAAAUAGCAGACAGACAAAAGGAAAGCUUAUUUGAAGUUAAAGAAGCAUUAAGGAUGCUGCCAGUUUCCAAAAGAAAUUCUAUCCCUUGGUAAAAAUAAAAUCCUUAUUUGGCUUGUUCAGCAUGCUUAACCGAGAGUCCAACAAAGGGAUAUUCCUGUUCACACUCACUGAAGCCACACUGUCCUUCUGAAAGAGUUAUCUUGGCCCUAGGCUGUAGCUCAGCUCCUACAGAGAGACUUAAAGGGAAACAACAGUUCUUGGUCCAAAGCAAUAAAGAGACAUGUGAGUCAUCAUGGUCUGGAUCGUCCACCAGCAUAAGCAGUUCCGUGAAUCGCCUCUAUGAAAACCCUGCCUUUCUAUCCCAAGCUGUUCCAAGUGCCAAAACCUUCCAUUCAAGAGUUUUAUAACUCAGCCCUGUGCUCAGAAAUGUCAUUGCACAUAAGAGAGCCUUUGAUCUCUGGCCAUAACCAAGCCCAGAGUCUGCAGCGAAGCGUGGUUUGAUAGCUAUCUGAAGAGAAAAGCGCUUGGGUUUCCUCUCGUCUAUUUCUAUUCUACUUUUAAUAGGCUGCUUCGCUUCAGGCAUCUGCCCUCUGCCCUCCCAGCUUCCAGCUCAACCAGAAGCAAAUCAGGCCCAUGGUUCUGUGCUUCAAGAGCUCAUGAAAUAACAAUCAUGGCAGCAAACACUCCUAAAGGGGUUAAUCAGCCCCUGUCCUAAGAAGUUUAUGUAGCAAUAUCAUGCAGGAGGUUUCCGCAGAUGAGGACACGGAAGCACAGAGAGGCGAAGUCAGAGUCAGCGCGGGAUUUGAAACCAACAAGUACGUCUUGUCCGCUUUUUGGUGAAAGAGAAUAACAUAAGCCCCCACUGAAAAGGCAAAAUAGGAAAUCAGAAAUGCGAGUCUCCCUUUAACAAGGGAGAAACUUUGGAAGAAACUUCUUAGAUGCAAAAGCACUUUCUUUUCCCAGGUACUGUGUUAGAAAUCCCUCCAGUAAGAAGACUAAACAUGCAAGCCUUUGAACUAAACCCAAACCGUGAGCUGAUUUAGUCAAACGGACCGAAGACCCGAGGUCAGACUGAACUAAGCUCUGAGAUUUAUCAGAAACAGUAGAUUUCUUCUGUUGAGGUUUUUUUAUCCCCAUUCAAUAUAAAGACACAAAGCCUCCAUUGCUGUCAAAUUUCUUUAGUAAAAGAGAUUUUCUUACUCGUCUGAAUUGGAAACCUCAAAGUUUUUAAAGCCUGUCUUCAUUAAGUGUGGAAAUUCAUAAAAUAUGGCGAGGUCAGAAGAUAACGGUAGUUCAUAAAUUAGACCUAAAAUUUAUGCUAAACAUAACUAAAUGCAAAAUUUGGUUAUUCAAAAUUAACUCCAGGGUAGUUUAUCUGUACAAACAGCUGCUAGAAUGCAAACUACCUUUCUGCUCUCAGCCCGUGUCACGUGGUGGAUGUGAAUCCCUCCCCGAGACAAGGGGUGGGCAUGCGUGUGCUGUCGGUGAGACCGCUCCAUCACCGUGGCCAAUGUGAUCGCUUCAGGGAUGGCCACAUGUCCCUAGCUGGGCCAAUAAGAGCGCCAGACUUUUGCUGAAAUUAUUGAGCAAGAGGUGUUUUUAUACUGGAUUUACUAAGCAGGUAAAAUGCAAGCUGUAGCUGUUCCAGGCAGCACAAUGGGAACAGCCUGCCUGGAAAGGAAGCCAAUAUGGAAGAAAGCAGAUAGAAACAGCUGUCAAUGAUUUUAUAAGAGCGUCUGGCUCCAGCUGUACCUGGAUCUCCUCUGAUGCUAUGCCGUUAAGUGAGCCUAUAAAUCUGUCUGGAUUUAAAUCUGUGACCUGGGUUCCUGUCCCCGGCAACCUAAACAGUCAGGACUAGCACAGAGGAGUAGGUCAGCUCCGCAUCCUGUUCAGUUACUACUGACCACAGAAGGUAACGUGAAAUGACACGCAUGUGAGCUGGGCAUUUCAAAGCCACACCCAUAUCCUGGGUGUGUCUGCUAAAGCGAUCCAACAGCCGUGUACACAGCUGGAGCCGACUUAAAGAGCUCCUAGGAAGGCCCACCCUCUGGCUGAAGGUCACGUAAAGACAUUCUGGAGAGAGAAACACCACACAGACAUACAAACACACACACCCAUUAGGCAAAAAUACCACAUGUUUUCUUCUUAGAGGAAAUAACCACGAGCAAAGUAUGGUUAUGAGUCAGUAACUGACUAUAAUUAGGGGCUUUUUCCCCCAGUAAUAUCUGAAUUAAGGCCGAAAGCAUCAGCACAGCACAGCAGUUGGUGAAGAAGUAGCCUCAUCUUUCUCGAUGUUCCCCGUGACUCAAUCCGUGAAGAACAGGCCCCUGCAGGUCAGAAAAAAGGUUUCCUAGGAGAAUUUAAUACCAAACUCAGUGGGAGUUCCCUCCUCUCCAUCAGAGUCAAAAUAAUCCUACCUUUAGAUCUUCCACUUUGGGGCUCAGCACAACUCCAGCAUCUACUCCAGGUGCAGACAUGGCACUGCUCAUCAAGCCAUGCUGUGGUAGGCGUCCCACAUAUAAAGUAGAGAAAGAUGGGCACAGAUGUUAGCUCAGGGCCAGGCUUCCUCAGCAAAAAGAGGAGGAUUGGCGGCAGAUGUUAGCUCAGGGCUAAUCUUCCUCAAAAAAAAAAAAGAAAUAGAAGUCAUUUUAAAGACCACUGUGUGUCCCUCCCUAAUUGCAUCCUGCUUUCCACUCACUCCCUGGAGAAUUAACCACUAUCUUGACUCUAAUGUUAAGCAUUCUUUUGCAUUUUUAAAAAAUAAUUGUAGCACGAAUGCAUGUAUCCAUAAAUAAUAUACUCUUGCAUUUUGAAAGACUCAGUAAUCAGCACACGCCUGGUCACGGAAGGAACAGGCAAUAUGGCCUCUUUUAGAUGAAGGCUCCCAAGAAAAGCAAAGCUGAACAGUCUCUGAGUCACAGUCUGGCUUCCACUUCCGCUACUUCUGGUGAAGGCUGGAGGGCCAGGUCUCGUCAGUGAGUCUUCAGAAACAGAGCUCGCCAUCGUGGGGCACCAGGCAUGACUGCAGUGUGGGCCGGGCGCGGGACAUCCAGCCUUCCAAAUGGACUAUUGAGUAUUUUCUGCUUCUAAACCCACGACUGAUUGCCAGCUCUCAGGAGUAAGUGUAAACUGAACAAUUCUGUGGGGUGAAAUGAACGUCCUCAGCAGAUCUAAGCAGCAGUACAUGCAGGCAUUUCAUCAGCAUGUGGUCAAGACAAGCCAAGUCAAGAAGGUGACUCGAACCUCAGACGUGCUGUUCUCAGUUUGAAAGAAAAGGCAGUGAGAUCUUGCAGGCAGCGGCACUCACCCUGUCUCCCGGGUCCACUCCUCCAGUCUGCACGGUUGGCCACGGCAAGCGCAGCUCUCAGUCUAGGAUCUUCUUUCACCGUCCUCCGGGAGACUUCAUCUCAUCCUUUCUACCUGGAUAUCCUAAAUCCUGUAUCCCAUGUCUGUCUCUGUUCAUUCUCUCAUUUCUAGCAGAGUACAUCCUACCUGAGAUGAGCUUGAGCAAAGUUGCCUGAGACAUAAAGAUGCUGAGACUUUGUGUGCCUGUAGUUUUCGCACUCUUAAACUGAAGUGAUAGUUUAGGGCUAGAAUUCCAAGAUGGAAUAAUUGUCCUUCACAACUUUGAAGGCACUGUUCUGCUAUCUUCUUGCUUUCAAUGUUGCUCUUAAAAAGUCGAAAGCCAUUUUCGUUCCAAUCCCUUUGACUUAUCUUUUUUUCUCUUUGGAAGCUUGUAGAAACUUAUUUGUUACCAAUGUCAUGAAUUUUCACAAUGUGUGCCUGUUGUAAGCCUAUUUUUAUCCAUUUUGCUGUACAUUUAAUGGACCCUUCCAGUCUGGCAACUUAGAUCCUUCAAUUCAGGGAAAUUUUCUUAAAUUAUUUUUUGGUGAUUUCAUCUCCUUUGCUCCCUCUGUCCUUUCAUUCUGGAGACUCACAUUAUUCAGAUAUUGGAUCUCCUGAACUGAUCCUUUAAUUUCCUUAUAUUCCCAUUCUAGUUUCCAUUUGUGUAUUUUUUUACUGUACUUUCCAGAUGAUUUCCUUUUCUUUUAUUGAGUUUUUAAUUUCCAGAAGCACAUGUUUGGCCUCUGAAUGUCUCUUUUUCAUAGUCUCUUGUUCCUUUAUCCAAGAUGCAGUGUCCUCUCCUUUCCCUCCGAGGAUUUUAAUAAUAGGUUCUUUUUUACCCUCCCUUGUCUAUGCAGUCUCUGAGUUGCUGUUAUUUAUUUGCUUUUUUCAUCCGAACCUACCAUGAGAGAGACUUUUCUCAAAUAUCUAGUACUUUUUGGCCAUCUACUCACAAUAACCAGUAAAGAAGAAAAGCUCAUUGAAAGCUCUGAGCUUAUGACGAGCUUUGUCAACUUUGAACUUCACUGUAGCAUUGUAUGGGUGGUGCCUUUUGGAGCAAAACCCUGAUGUCAGGAUAUUUGGGUCUUUCCUCUUGGGCUGGUCAGUCUCUCAGCCUUCCAUCUCCUGCCCAGAGGGGAGUGCCCUGGGCCAGUGUUCUGUGGGCCCGCUGGAGGACCAGGGCAAGUGGUCCCUUCGUUCUGAAUGUAGCGUGCAUAUGGUCACGUCGUCUCUCUGUUUUAAAAUGGUACAGUGUUGACGUGAUAUACUGCCCACACCCACAAAUAAACUGAAGUACCCCAUCCAAAGGCCCUCUGGUCUAUCCUAUCAGAGAUUAAAGCUUCAGAUCUCUGCCAUGGCAGGUAAAGGGCAAACCUGAGUGACAGGGCAACAUGGCUUUACCGUGUACAGCUUUUCAAGCUCAGAUUCUGCACCGGCGCUUCUAUUGCUCCAGUUAAUUUGUUCCCACUGACAGCUGAAAAGCUCCACACAAAUGCUGAAAUGUGGUCAAUACGAAGUGUUUAAAUUAAGCCAUUCUGCAAAUGCCCUCUGCAGAACCACUCCUAUAAACACCUGUGAGAAAGGUAUGUGAACACCACCCCAGUCAGGGUGGGAGGGAUAAAGAGUCCUUGGCUCGAAGUAGGAAAAGAGGAACUCCUAGGUUAAAUGUUGUCUGGAAAAAUCUCUCCCGUUACUCAAGUCUGUUCCAUCUGUCAUUGCUUCCUGUGCCUUCUGCCAUCAAAAGGUCCCCCUGUGGUUAAAAAAGUUGCACCUGCUGCCUUUUUAGGGCUUUUUCUGGUUUAAUAUUCCAUGUCCAUCAUAGACAGGGUUAAGAUGUUUGUAAACAUCAUCUCAUUUGUUCCUUAUAACAAUAGUCCUUUGAAUUUGUGAGGUCGGGCACUAUUAAUACCUUCUACAGAAGUGAAAACUUAGGCUCAGAAAGGUCGCAUGACUUGUCAAAGAUCAGACUACGUGUAACAAGUAAGGCUGGGGUUAGAACCCCGACCUUCUGCCCCGAAGGCACCGUUGUCCACUGGGCAACACUGCCUCAAUUAGCAGCCUCCUUGGGACACAGCCACUGAAAUUUUCACAAAAUAAUUUUAAGGAAAAGACAACUUACCAUCGACCUUGAACAAAGAUUGAGAUCGCUUCUCACAAUCUGUGCUUUUCCUGGGAGGCAGAAAUACAAAUGGUUCAUUUCAAGGAGCUGGAGCUUCCGCCUUUGAACACUAACAUUGGAGCCACCACACGAUGUGGCGACUGAGGUGACAGCUGCUCAGUGAGGACUUAUCCUGAAGACAAUGAGUGUGACUUCAUGGCCAAACAGGAGCUCAAACAGGGAGUUUCCACUUUCCUCUGUGCUUCAGUCAGCCCAGCUUUGUGCUAAUGUCCCACUUCUUCAUUUCCACUUAGCAUAGUCAGCACCAAGUCACAACUGUGAUGUCCUUUGCGUUUUACUUAAUUACAAAGAAUACUAUUAGUGUUGAGAAAAGGCACUCAUUUUAUGGAGCUUCUAAAUCUCUGGCUCCUGGAGUUUGACUAUCUGGAUCAUAUUAAAGAUAUAAUAUAUGCCUAGAAACAUCUAAUGAACAGAGCAUGUCUCAAAAGUCAUGUGUAAAUUACAUUUUUGGAACUUGGAAUAUAUUUCCCCAUAAGGAAAUUGUACUGUGCUUUUUAAAGGCAUUACUAAAUAAAGAAAUAAAGAAAUAAAUGGAUAAUUAAGUUUCCAGGUCAGCACACAAAAGCCUGUUGGGCUAGUAUUUAACCCGUAACAUACCCAAAAUAUAAUGCUAAUGUUGGUGUUUCAGAUACGCUUGGUUCUGAGCACUAAAUGCUGUUUUUAUAGGAAAACACAUUCUCUAAGUGGAAACACCUCUGAUGCCUAAACAAAAUAAGGAAGGGCAAGAGACCUAACAUUUAGUCUUUUUGUGUGUAAAGCUUGGUACUAGGUGUUUAAUGUAUGUUAGUUCAUUCUGUCUUCGGGGCAGCAUUUUGAAGAAAGCAUUAAGGAAAAUGAGCCUCAAAAUGGUUAAUAAUAUUUAACGUGCACCAAUAACACAUUCAAAGACAUGUAAGUAAAAGCAGCAGACCCAGAAUUUAAACCCAGGUUUAUCUCAGCCUGUUCUUUCUACUAAGCUUAGGAACCUCGCUAGAUUUAUAGCCCAAAUAUUCUGAAUUGAGAACAACUUGUUCCCCCUGGGGUGCCAUAGGGGUGAAAUGAAUAAAGGUUAGUAUUCUGGUCUAGGGCAGCGAAUCUCAAACUUGACCAUGCAUCAGAAUCACCUGGAGGGCUGUUAACCAAGAUUGCUGGGCCUCACCCACUGUGUUUUUUAAUUCAGCAGGUCUGAGUGAGGUCUGGAAAUCUGCAUUUCUGACAAGCUCCCAGGUGAUGCUGAUGCGGCUGGUCCAGGGACCACACUUUGAGAAUUCAUUAAGGCUUCCCUAAUAAGUCUUCUCAACAAAUAGCCAAUCCCGGAAGCAAUGACCUUCAUAGCUGGUGACAAGGGGUGAAAUUCACUUAACUCCUGAAGAUCUGUAAUUAUGAUUAGUACCUACAGGGAGCUAGCAGGUGAGGUUGCUGCCAUGGAGAGACAACCUGGAAGGGAAACAAAUGUUCUCAGCAAGGUUGCUCUCCAUGCAUAAUUUCAUUUUCUCCAUAGAAAGAAAGAAGCAAACAGGACAGAAAAUGAACAGACAUGUGUGGCUUUGAAGAUAGAAGCAAUAACGGGGCAAGGUGGGAACAGCAUGAUGACUAUAAUACAAUUGAGUUUCUAUUUUUUCUCAAUGCCUCCAGAGAAGCUUAAUCAGUCAACGCGUCUUUGCAGGGUCCUUGCAGUGUGCUCAAGUAGGUUGUACGGGGCAGGGCUCCUGACCUCUGACAGGUUACAGUGAUGCUUCAUGAUCCAUUUCUUGGGGAAGAAAGCAUGCCCCAAAGUGAAAUUCCCAAGUAAGUAAAGCUAACUCUUCAAAAUACUUAAAAUGUAUUUAUUUGAAGUGUAUUUUUUUAUCUUAAAAAUCUUUCUGAAAUCUACACCAUCCUCUGAUUUUAAACAGAGAACAUAAAACACGGUUUAAAUUUUUCUUGAUGAUUCUAGGCCGACAUCACAGGUAUCUAUUUUUAGAAUAUUAAGUAAUGACCACAGGACUUAUUGAGGGGUAUGUGGCUGUCUGCCCUGCAUCAGAGGAUCCAAGUUCAGUCUUAACAUUUGAAUGUUUUUCAUUCUUUACCAAUUUUCACCUUAUUUUUGCUUUCAUUGUUCCAACUUGCAAUAGUUCCACAUCACCUCUUCUAAUACGCUGAUUCUUCUCUGCUAUGGAUUAGAAAAUGUAUACUUUGUAAGAAGCAAGUUGGGGCCAGCCCGGUGGCACAGCGGUUAAGGUCACACGUUCCGCUUCGGUGGCCCAGGGCUCACCGGUUCAAAUCCCGGAUGCGGACAUGGCACCGCUUAGCAAGCCACGCCGUGGUAGGCGUCCCACAUAUAAAGUAGAGGAAGAUGGGCAUGGAUGUUAGCUCAGGGCCAGUCUUCCUCAGCAAAAAGAGGAGGAUUGGAAGCAGAUGUUAGCUCAGGGCUAAUCUUCCUCAAAGAAAAAAGAAGCAAGCCAAAGAACAUAAGUCUGAGUGAGGGCCUGAGUGUCUUGCCUAUGAAUCAAGUGAGCUUUAGGUCCUGGCCUUUCUGAGUGCAUUUCUGACAAGCUCCCGGUGACGCUGGUGCUGCUGGUUCCAGGACCACACUUCUGAGAACUCAUUAUGGCUUCCCUAAUGAGUCAUCUCUACAAAUACAGAUAUCUCUUCCUCUUCCAAAUUAUUCUCCCAGUGGGGGCUCGUUUGAAGGCUUCCAAACUUCCAAAUAUACCUUCACUUUGAAAGGAUGGCUGGCCCAAUCCUCCCAGCUCUUCUUUUCUCCUUCUGGACAAGCCCCUUUAGGACUCUGGUUUCAACUUCUCAAAUUUUCCAAGCACUCAGUAUAGGACCAUACUCCCCAGCCCAAAAUUUGUUUCACCUAUUUAUUGGAUGAAUAAAUAAAUAAAGGAUGCAUAAACACACAUGUAUUAUUGAGCUCUCCUAUAAACCAGGUACUAUUUAUAUACUUUCAUUUAUCUUCUUUAAUCCUCACACCCACCUUAUGAGUGAGGGAUGAACAGCCCAUAUCUCAAGCUGAGGAAACUGAGAUUUGGGGAGAUUAAAUGACCCACUCAUUCAAGGUCAUACUUAGUAAAUUUCAUAGCUGAGAUUCCAACUCAAAUCUUCAGACCCCAAGACCAACAUGCUUUCCAUCAGACCACAGCUACUGCCCCCUUGAGAGCGAACAGAAUAUUGGGAUGCAAGGAAUGAUGGCAAUUUAUAGUUUUUUAAAAAGACAAACCCACGGCAAGCGUAAUGGCCCCGCUGCCCCACGCCCAUCCCUAUGGCAGUCAGAGUUCUUUCCCACCCCAUACAGAAUCCUCAGACCCUUUUCAACCUAGUGUUUCUAGUAGCCAGAGCUGGUCAGUUGGAACAGGCCCAGACUACAAACCCCUAUGCUUUAGCUUCACUUAUUUGGAAAUUCCAUUUUGUGGUAUCCCACGUAGAAACAUUCCACCUAGAAAGUGGAAAACAAGAUGCAAUUUGAAAAGGCAGAUAGAUAACUUUGAAGAAGAUACACAUUCAGCAGAACUGACAAAUUAUACCUUAUCCUAGAUCAGUGGUUCUCAACCAGGGGCAAUUUUGGCCCCCAAGUGGACAUCUGGGAAAGGCUGUAGAUAUUUUUGUCGUCGUAACUGGCAUCUAGUGGGGAGAGUCCCAGGAUGCUAGAAAACAUCCUACAACGCAGAGACCACUCACCCUCCCCUACAGCAAACAAUGAUCCAGCCGUAAAUGUCAUGCGUGCCACAGCGGAGAAACCCCGCCCUCGAUCACAGCACAUGUCAAGGAGGGAGAAGAUCCUAGCUUCUUGCAGAUUCCUGCUGCUUCUCUCACUUUAGCAAAAUAAAGUUGAGGAACUGAAACCACAGGUUUAGGGUCUAUUUCUGGCUUCUCACACACAUAUGCAGAGGUCACACCGGUUUCAGUGACAGCUGGCUGCACGACCCUUCUGUUUUCUUCCAGCCCAGAGGACCUGAAGCAACAUAAGAUGCUACCCACAGAGCCUGUAUCAACAUGGCUUUUGGCUUUGCUCUCGCAGCUUCUCUCCAUUCAAGACAACAGUAAAGGAUAUCAAAAAGAAAAGGGAAAGGGAAGGGGUGACGGGAACAGUAGACCAGAACCAACAGAGCCGGCCUGGUGCUCAGUACAUGCACAUUGACGUGACACUGUGACAGCUCCCACAGUCCUCUUGUUCCUACUACUCUUCCAAGUGUGGUGUCCAGAGCAGCAGAAUUGGCCCCCCCAGCAUCUCCUUAGAACGGUAGAAUCUCAGCCCUGCCCAGACCCCCUGACUCAAAAUCUGCAUUUUAACAAGAUGCCUGAGCAAUUCGUAUGCGCACGCAUGUUUGAGAAGCACUGCUCUAGGGUUUCCAAAAGGCGAAAUAAAACUGCAAAGUGAACAGCUGCAAAACAGAUGCAAAGCGAGUCACGUGGUGUAACAUAUGACUUCGCCAGGGGAUUUAUGACCCUCUGUGGACAGUAGCUUGUAAUAUAGAAAACAGAAAUUUGAAGGAAUAUGUGCAAAAGUAAACGCCACGUUACUUCCUUCUAAUUGCCCUAAAAGAACCCCCCUUGGGUUACAGGAAAUGGAGGGCCUAGCACCUAAAACAAUUUCAUGUACCCAAUGAGUGCUCAAGCGUUCGGGUUUUUUUUCAAUAGGGAACAAAGAUGGAAUUUACACUGCUCUUCCAGGAGAUCAUAGAGAUUGAUCUGAUCAGAAUUUCCUACACAGCAUUCCACAAUACUAAAAUUUUGUAACAAGGAACAGAAAAGAGUCGAUGUGGUAUGUUUUAAAAUAACCUAGGUUAAGGUGAAUGGAUCAGAUUCAACUUCAGGUCCACAGUCAACUCACCCAGAUUGGCUUGGCUUCAUCCACGCAGGAAAUAUUAGCUCCCAGAAACUUUGCAAAGAAGGGCUUCAAGGAAAGCAGCAACCAGCGCUGCAAACCACGGCCUGAGAUGCAGGGUUGCAGGCGGCCCUGACAACUGAGGCGGAAAGGGGAACAGAGCUGGGGGCGGAGGAGGGAGGAGUUGUAGGCGCGCUUGUGGGUUAAGAAGCUGGGCUCACUACGGAACCCGACCCAAGCCGCCAGGGGGUAGGUCCAGCCUGACUCACACACUUGCCUGCAGGACAGCCCUGGCGAAGGGGUUCAGAGGAUAGCGACACGCAGUCCUGCCCCGUCUUCACACGGCUCCGAGGCUGUGGCCCGGCUUGAGGUGAACAGUCGCACACGAGUGUGAAGACUCGGGGGCGCAGAUCCAGGGGCGGCCGCUAGAGGGCGCGCUUGGACCCAUCAGCGAAGAAACUGAAGGGGCUGAGCACGUUCGCUGCCGGCUUUGUUCAGCCCGAGCGCUGGGUUCUUUCAUCACGUCCACGCCCUCGGCUGUCUGCACAGGCCGGCAGGGGAUCAAAUACCAGCCUCGAAGCCAGAGGACCCCGUGGCCCCUAAGUCACAAAGGGAUGGGUGGCGUGCUGGGUGGCCCUUUAGAGCCCCUGAUUCACCGGCACCUCCUCCCAGGCCUCCCUGGGGGCAGAAAGUCUUGGUUCGCUGAUAGCAGGGGUCUGUCCCCCACUUUCCGAGGAGUCUGAAGCCCAGAGAACGAUUUGGAGAGCCAGCAAUAGAGCAGAGUGGAGAGAGAGGAAGGGCCUGAAUGCUGCCAAAUGCUCAGGGCUGGGUCAAGCAGCCUUCUUGCUU